rnacentral:rRNA from 1 species
UACGAAGGGUGCAAGCGUUACUCGGAAUUACUGGGCGUAAAGCGUGCGUAGGCGGUUUGUUAAGUCUGUCGUGAAAGCCCUGGGCUCAACCUGGGAAUUGCGAUGGAUACUGGCAAGCUAGAGUACGGUAGAGGAUGGUGGAAUUCCCGGUGUAGCGGUGAAAUGCGCAGAUAUCGGGAAGAACACCCGUGGCGAAGGCGGCUCACUGGCCCGGUACUGACGCUGAGGCGCGAAAGCGUGGGGAGCAAACAGG